rnacentral:rRNA from 1 species
CCUACGGGAGGCAGCAGUGAGGAAUAUUGGUCAAUGGGCGCAAGCCUGAACCAGCCAAGUCGCGUGAAGGAAGACGGUCCUAUGGAUUGUAAACCUCUUUUGUAGGGGGGCAAAAGACGCCACGCGUGGCGGUCCGAGAGUACCCGAAGAAAAAGCAUCGGCUAACUCCGUGCCAGCAGCCGCGGUAAUACGGAGGAUUCGAGCGUUAUCCGGAUUUAUUGGGUUUAAAGGGUGCGCAGGCGGAAGAUCAAGUCAGAGGUAAAAUUGAGGGGCUAAAUCUCUUAGAGCCGUUGAAACUGGUCUUCUGGAGAGAGGUAGAAGUAUGCGGAAUGCGUGGUGUAGCGGUGAAAUGCAUAGAUAUCAUGCAGAACUCCGAUUGCGAAGGCAGCAUACCGGCGCUCAACUGACGCUCAGGCACGAAAGUGUGGGUAUCGAACAGGAUUAGAUACCCCUGUAGUC